CGGCGAGUGAGCGGCAAAGCUCAAUUUGAAAUCCCCCGGGAACUGUAGUUUGAAUAGUUUUGGGUCCGGCCGGCUGGGGUUAAGUCUACUGGUCUGUGGCGCCUGAAAGGGUGACUCCCCCGUGAACCCAAUAACGGCGUCAUCCCAUCUCCUUCGAGUUGUUUGGGAAUGCCGCUCUGUUUGGGUGGUAAAUUCCAUCUGGGCUAAAUACCGGCCAGAGACCGAUUGCGGACAAGUACAGUGAUGGAAAGAUGAACAGCACUUUGAAAAGAGAGUGACUUUACGUGAAAUUGUUGAAAGGGAAGGGCUUGCAAGCAGACACUUAACUGGGCCAGCACCGGGGCGUCUGGGACCACAACCACCGGGGAAUGUACCUUUCGAGGAUUAUAACCCCGUCCUUAUUCCCUUGCUGCCCCGAGGCCUGCAAUCUAAUGAUGCUGGCCUAAUGGU
rnacentral:rRNA from 1 species